AUACGGAGGAUGCGAGCGUUAUCCGGAUUUAUUGGGUUUAAAGGGUGCGUAGGCGGGCUGGUAAGUCAGCGGUGAAACGCAGGUGCUCAACACCUGACCUGCCGUUGAAACUGCCGGUCUUGAAUGCGGAUGCGGUGGGAGGAAUGUGUGGUGUAGCGGUGAAAUGCAUAGAUAGCACACAGAACACCGAUUGCGGAGGCAUCUCACAAAUCCGUGACUGACGCUGAGGCACGAAAGUGCGGGGAUCGAACAUGAUUAGAUACCCUGGUAGUCCGCACUGUAAACGAUGAUGACUCGCUGUCGGCGAUAGACAAUCGGUGGCCAAGCGAAAGCGAUAAGUCAUCCACCUGGGGAGUACGACCGCAAGGUUGAAACUCAAAUGAAUUGGCGGG
rnacentral:rRNA from 1 species